rnacentral:rRNA from 1 species
GACGAACGCUGGCGGCGUGCCUAAUACAUGCAAGUCGAGCGAAGUUUUUCUGGUGCUUGCACCGGAAAAACUUAGCGGCGAACGGGUGAGUAACACGUAAAGAACCUGCCUCAUAGACUGGGACAACUAUUGGAAACGAUAGCUAAUACCGGAUAACAGCAUUAACUGCAUGGUUGAUGUUUAAAAGUUGGUUUUGCUAACACUAUGAGAUGGCUUUGCGGUGCAUUAGCUAGUUGGUGGGGUAAAGGCCUACCAAGGCGACGAUGCAUAGCCGACCUGAGAGGGUGAUCGGCCACACUGGGACUGAGACACGGCCCAGACUCCUACGGGAGGCAGCAGUAGGGAAUCUUCCGCAAUGGGCGAAAGCCUGACGGAGCAACGCCGCGUGAGUGAAGAAGGAUUUCGGUUCGUAAAGCUCUGUUGUUAGGGAAGAAUGAUUGUGUGGUAACUAUACACAGUAGAGACGGUACCUACC